rnacentral:tRNA from 2 species
AGGCCCGUAGCUCAGGGGGAGAGCACUUGCUUGACGCGCAAGGGGUCAGCAGUUCAAAUCUGCUCGGGCCUACCA